UCCCAUGUGGUCUAGUGGUUGGAUUCCUGGCUUUCACCCAGCGGCCCGGUUCGAUUCCCGCAUGGAAA